UACGAAGGGGGCUAGCGUUGCUCGGAAUGACUGGGCGUAAAGGGCGCGUAGGCGGAUGGUACAGUCAGAUGUGAAAUUCCCGGGCUCAACUGGGGGCUGCAUUUGAUACGUGCUGUCUUGAGUUCGGAAGAGGGUCGUGGAAUUCCCAGUGUAGAGGUGAAAUUCGUAGAUAUUGGGAAGAACACCGGUGGCGAAGGCGGCGACCUGGUCCGAGACUGACGCUGAGGCGCGAAAGCUAGGGGAGCAAACAGGG
rnacentral:rRNA from 1 species